rnacentral:lncRNA from 1 species
UCAGAUGUAGGGAUUCUUACAGAAAUUGUAGACUGACUCAAACACGGUCCGAAUCACAACCUACGCGCUGGGGUGCUGAGUCCCCUGAUCAAAAUCUCCUGGCACCGCCGACUCUUCCUUUACAAUAUCAAUUAUAAAUCACAACUAAAUUAUUUAAUAUUUAAAUAUUCUAAACCAUAAUUUACAUCUACUAUGGGGUCCAUCACCAGGUCCCCAAACAUCUCAAUCCCUCCAGAUCUAGGGCAGUCGGGGUGGCCCGACUCCCACUCCGUACCACCAGCCUACGUCGUCGCCAGCCGUGGCCGCAGCCACGCCGCGACGAUGAUCGGUCCCGUUGAAGAGACCAAAAGAAUGGAUGAUUCCUCUCUCUUCAUGGUUGGGAAUACAUCUCCCC